rnacentral:rRNA from 1 species
AGUCGAGCGGAUGAAGGUAGCUUGCUACUGGAUUCAGCGGCGGACGGGUGAGUAAUGCUUAGGAAUCUGCCUAUUAGUGGGGGACAACGUUCCGAAAGGGGCGCUAAUACCGCAUACGUCCUACGGGAGAAAGCAGGGGACCUUCGGGCCUUGCGCUAAUAGAUGAGCCUAAGUCGGAUUAGCUAGUUGGUAGGGUAAAGGCCUACCAAGGCGACGAUCUGUAGCGGGUCUGAGAGGAUGAUCCGCCACACUGGGACUGAGACACGGCCCAGACUCCUACGGGAGGCAGCAGUGGGGAAUAUUGGACAAUGGGGGGAACCCUGAUCCAGCCAUGCCGCGUGUGUGAAGAAGGCCUUUUGGUUGUAAAGCACUUUAAGCGAGGAGGAGGCUACCUAGAUUAAUACUUUAGGAUAGUGGACGUUACUCGCAGAAUAAGCACCGGCUAACUCUGUGCCAGCAGCCGCGGUAAUACAGAGGGUGCGAGCGUUAAUCGGAUUUACUGGGCGUAAAGCGUGCGUAGGCGGCCAAUUAAGUCAAAUGUGAAAUCCCCGAGCUUAACUUGGGAAUUGCAUUCGAUACUGGUUGGCUAGAGUAUGGGAGAGGAUGGUAGAAUUCCAGGUGUAGCGGUGAAAUGCGUAGAGAUCUGGAGGAAUACCGAUGGCGAAGGCAGCCAUCUGGCCUAAUACUGACGCUGAGGUACGAAAGCAUGGGGAGCAAACAGGAUUAGAUACCCUGGUAGUCCAUGCCGUAAACGAUGUCUACUAGCCGUUGGGGCCCUUGAGGCUUUAGUGGCGCAGCUAACGCGAUAAGUAGACCGCCUGGGGAGUACGGUCGCAAGACUAAAACUCAAUGAAUUGACGGGGGCCCGCACAAGCGGUGGAGCAUGUGGUUUAAUUCGAUGCAACGCGAA